GCGGGUGUAGUUUAAUGGUAGAACUUCAGCCUUCCAAGCUGACUGUGAGGGUUCGAUUCCCUUCGCCUGCACCA
rnacentral:tRNA from 1 species